rnacentral:rRNA from 1 species
AUGGGAACGCGAAGAACCUUACCUACUCUUGACAUCCAGAGAACUUUCCAGAGAUGGAUUGGUGCCUUCGGGAACGUCUGAGACAGGUGCUGCAUGGCUGUCGUCAGCUCGUGUUGUGAAUGUUGGGUUAAGUCCGCAACGAGCGCAACCCGUUAUCCUUUGUUGCCAGCGGUUAGGCCGGGAACUCAAAGGAGACUGCCAGUGAUAAACUGGAGGAAGGUGGGGAUGACGUCAAGUCAUCAUGGCCCUUACGAGUAGGGCUACACACGUGCUACAAUGGCGCAUACAAAGAGAAGCGACCUCGCGAGAGCAAGCGGACCUCAUAAAGUGCGUCGUAGUCCGGAUUGGAGUCUGCAACUCGACUCCAUGAAGUCGGAAUCGCUAGUAAUCGUAGAUC